ACGUGGGUAACCUGCCCUAAGUGGGGAUAACAUUUGGAAACAGAUGCUAAUACCGCAUAAAACCUAACACCGCAUGGUGUAGGGUUGAAAGAUGGUUUCGGCUAUCACCUUUAGGAUGGACCCGCGGUGCAUUAGUUAGUUGGUGAGGUAAAGGCUCACCAAGACCGUGAUGCAUAGCCGACCUGAGAGGGUAAUCGGCCACACUGGGACUGAGACACGGCCCAGACUCCUACGGAGGCAGCAGUAGGGAAUCUUCCACAAUGGACGAAAGUCUGAUGGAGCAACGCCGCGUGAGUGAAGAAGGUUUUCGGAUCGUAAAACUCUGUUGUUAAAAAAGGAGAAGAAUGUAUCUGAUAGUAACUGAUCAGGUAGUGACGGUAUCCAACCAGAAAGCCACGGCUAACUACGUG
rnacentral:rRNA from 1 species